rnacentral:rRNA from 1 species
ACAGCUCAAAUUUGAAAUCUGGCCCUUGGGUCCGAAUUGUAAUUUGUAGAGGAUGUUUUUGGUGCGGUAUCUUCCGAGUUCCUUGGAACAGGACGCCUUAGAGGGUGAGAGCCCCGUACGGUUGAAUGCCUAGCCUUUGUAAAACUCCUUCGACGAGUCGAGUAGUUUGGGAAUGCUGCUCUAAAUGGGAGGUAAAUUUCUUCUAAAGCUAAAUACUGGCCAGAGACCGAUA